GGGCGUAUAGUCUAGUGGUAGGACUUCUCAUUCGCACUUGCUGCCAUCCCUGCUGGCCUAAUAAAUCCCCACCCCUAGACAGGACGGAAUGCACGCAGGAUUUGGGCGGCGGGAUCUUGGCAUGAGAGGGUCCCGGGUUCAAACCCCGGUACGUCCA
rfam:Podospora anserina genomic DNA, chromosome 6.